rnacentral:rRNA from 1 species
AUUGAACGCUGGCGGCAUGCUUUACACAUGCAAGUCGAACGGUAGAGGGGGCAACCCCUUGAGAGUGGCGAACGGGUGAGUAAUGCAUCGGAACGUGCCCAGUCGUGGGGGAUAACGCAGCGAAAGCUGUGCUAAUACCGCAUACGAUCUCUGGAUGAAAGCGGGGGACCGAAAGGCCUCGCGCGAUUGGAGCGGCGAUGUCAGAUUAGGUAGUUGGUGGGGUAAAGGCCUACCAAGCCAACGGUCUGUAGUUGGUCUGAGAGGACGACCAGCCACACUGGGACUGAGACACGGCCCAGACUCCUACGGGAGGCAGCAGUGGGGAAUUUUGGACAAUGGGCGCAAGCCUGAUCCAGCAAUGCCGCGUGCAGGAAGAAGGCCUUCGGGUUGUAAACUGCUUUUGUACGGAACGAAACGGUCUGGGUUAAUACCCUGGGCUAAUGACGGUACCGUAAGAAUAAGCACCGGCUAACUACGUGCCAGCAGCCGCAGUAA